GCGUGCAGCAUUCGUUCACAUGGUCGAAUGCCGACGAUUCGUCGUCGUCCGAGUUCGAGUCUCGGUGCACGCA
rnacentral:tRNA from 1 species